UACGAAGGGUGCAAGCGUUAAUCGGAAUUACUGGGCGUAAAGCGUGCGUAGGCGGUUUGUUAAGUCUGUUGUGAAAUCCCCGGGCUCAACCUGGGAAUGGCAAUGGAUACUGGCAGGCUAGAGUGUGUCAGAGGAUGGUGGAAUUCCCGGUGUAGCGGUGAAAUGCGUAGAGAUCGGGAGGAACAUCAGUGGCGAAGGCGGCCAUCUGGGACAACACUGGCGCUGAGGCACGAAAGCGUGGGGAGCAAACAGG
rnacentral:rRNA from 1 species